GGGAAUAUAGCUCAGUAACACAGCACCUGCCUGGCAUGCAUGAGCUCCGAGUUUGAUUCUUGGUAACCCCC
rnacentral:tRNA from 1 species